ACGCUCGACACCUACGGGAGGCAGCAGUGGGGAAUAUUGCACAAUGGGGGAAACCCUGAUGCAGCGACGCCGCGUGAGCGAAGAAGUAUCUCGGUAUGUAAAGCUCUAUCAGCAGGGAAGAAGAUGACGGUACCUGACUAAGAAGCACCGGCUAAAUACGUGCCGGCAGCCGCGGUAAUCUGAGCGGGCUGGCAAGGC
rnacentral:rRNA from 1 species